GAGACUCUGUGCGCGUGCAUAUCAAUAAGCGGAGGAAAAGAAACUAACAAGGAUUCCCUUAGUAACGGCGAGUGAAGCGGGAAGAGCUCAAAUUUGAAAUCUUCAAGGUUCUACCUUGACGAAUUGUAGUUUGUAGAAGUGUUUUCUGUUAGUGGAGUGGCAAAAGUUCUUUGGAAUAGGACAUCAUAGAGGGUGAGAAUCCCGUAUUUGGUCAUUCCUCCUAGCGUUGUGAUACACUUUCAACGAGUCGGAUUGUUUGGGAAUGCAGUCCAAAAUGGGUGGUAAAUUUCAUCUAAAGCUAAAUAUUGGCGAGAGACCGAUAGCGAACAAGUACCGUGAGGGAAAGAUGAAAAGAACUUUGAAAAGAGAGUUAAACAGUACGUGAAAUUGUCAAAAGGGAAGCGUUUGACACCAGUGUUGUUUUCUCGAAAAUCAAUUAAAAAAGGCCGGAUUUUGUGUUGUAUUGACCUUAAAAGCUUUCUUCACUCUUUUCUUGUCUUUUUUAAUGCACUUUUCGUUUAACAAGUCAACAUCAGUUUCUUUUGUUGUAAAAGGGUCAUUGGAAGGUGGCUUUCUUUUCGGAGAAAGUGUUUAUAGCCUUUGAUCUCUGCAACCGGAGAGACUGAGGUCUGCAGCGUAGACUCUUCGGGGUUAGAUACAUUUGUGCUAAGCUAUAGCUUUUUAUAGACAACUUGUUGACUAUAUUUAGUCUUGUGGCUUACUCGCUUAUGCUAUUUUACCUACGCUUAGGAUGUUGACAGCAGUAUAGACUGU
rnacentral:rRNA from 1 species